GAUGAACGCUAGCUACAGGCUUAACACAUGCAAGUCGAGGGGAAACGACAUCGAAAGCUUGCUUUUGAUGGGCGUCGACCGGCGCACGGGUGAGUAACGCGUAUCCAACCUGCCCAUCACUUGGGAAUAACCUUGCGAAAGUAAGACUAAUACCCAAUGAUAUCCCACGAAGGCAUCGGAAUGGGAUUAAAGAUUUAUCGGUGAUGGAGGGGGAUGCGUCUGAUUAGCUUGUUGGCGGGGUAACGGCCCACCAAGGCAACGAUCAGUAGGGGUUCUGAGAGGAAGGUCCCCCACAUUGGAACUGAGACACGGUCCAAACUCCUACGGGAGGCAGCAGUGAGGAAUAUUGGUCAAUGGGCGAGAGCCUGAACCAGCCAAGUAGCGUGCAGGAAGACGGCCCUAUGGGUUGUAAACUGCUUUUAUAAGGGAAUAAAGUGGGUCACGUGUGACUUUUUGCAUGUACCUUAUGAAUAAGGACCGGCUAAUUCCGUG
rnacentral:rRNA from 1 species